GCUCGAACUCACAAACUGCAAGAUCGUGACCUGAGGCGAAAUCAAGAGUCGGAAGCUUAACCAGCCCACACACCCCUGCCAGUGAGAUUUCUGAGAAAUGACUGCUGUUCCCCAAAUCAGAGGAAACUGGGCUGGGAGCACCACCAUUCUCCAGGCUUUGUUGUUCCGGAGAAAUCCAGAGUGGCCACAGGCGUAGUAAAUCCUGCCUCUUGAGCCAGCUCCUCCCUCUGCUUCACCAUAUCCCCACCUGUGCAGUCAUUUCAGGUGCCAACAUGACUUCCUUGCUCUGAUCUUUGCAUUCCCUGAGCUAUGUAAAUGCCCUGUGAAAAGAUUCUUUCCUUCCUUGAUCAUCACGUAACAGACUGGGGGAAAUAUUUGUGAAACAAGCCCAGGAGGCCGAGUGGUAUGAUUGGGAAGAAUGGCCUGAGAGAAGACCACAUCUUUGGGCUGGCUCUCCUCAUCUGGAAACCGAUUGAACAAGGGAACUGCUCCGCUGCCUGGAGCACGUCAGGCCAGGUACCACCCACUGGCGUCAACAGCCACAACCUCGCUCAGCCCUCCCGGAGCAUCCAUGGCGAUCAGAACUGUCAUUCUCCUAUUUUAAGGGGAGGAAACCAAGACUCGGAGCAGCACAGUCGCACGGAAGAGGCCAAGUGGGCGCUCGAAAAGCAGUCUCUGACACCACAGUCUAUCCCCUUGACCUUGCUGCUGAAGUGAUUUAGCCACUUGUGCAGUGCUCUACGAGACAAGCCCCUCCGGAUGAGUUCUUGUCCAUGGACACUCGCUGGCAGUUGGAGGACCCAGGGACUGUGUCUUAGGCUCUCUUGUGGACACCGAACAUUGCAGACAGAACAGAACAGAACAAAGAGCAACCUUGGCCCUCAGGAAGCCUCACCAGUCUUUCUUAGAAAGACAGCUAAAUGAAGACAGAUUCCCGCUGCACCUCCGCCACGAGCCCUCGGGUGAGUCAUCUCCUUGUCAGUAAAACAGAAAUGACCCUUGCCCUUCAAGUGUGCUAGCAACACUGGUGACCCGGAUUCCCGAUACACAGCGCAUUACCAGGACAUGAUGAUGGAGUUCAUAGAGAAAAUGCAAGCAUUGGCGAUCGCUGUCGUCUUCCUAACUGUCAGGAACCAGGCCAAGGACUCUUAAGCUAGGAUCCCCUGGAAGUCCACGAACCUGUAAAACUGCAUGCAGAAUUCCCGUGUUCUCGUAUUCUCAUAACUCCUCGUGGCUUAACGUCUGUUUAGUGCUUGCUGGGUGAUCGGUCUGCAUACACUAUCUCAGUCCUCAGUAACCCUGUGGGAGUGACUGCCACUGUUAUUUCCACGUGAUGUCUGUGCAUUUUGAGGUCCAUGCAUCUAGGAGUAGCAGAGGCUGAGAGUGAGCCUGUCUGCGGCUCCACGGCUCAGCCUCUUACCACUGCGCCAUUGCGCUGGCACAUUGCUGGGAGCGGGGAAAGACUCGCCAGGCACCCAUGAUGCAGAGGAGUCGACGAGCCGUGCAUCCGAACGAAAGGAGAAGAAAGUCGAGCCCGUUUGCCAGUGCUGCCUCAGAAGGCCAGAGGAGCAAGUUCCUGGGGGAGAGAGGAGCCCGUUUUCCCAGCCAAUACCUUCUGGAAAGGGCCGCCUGUGCUGGCUCCACACCACGGUCUUUCCUCUCAGACCGCGGCUCCGCACAGCUAAUGGCACUGCAUGAUUCGUAACCCUGAAGGCCCACCGUCCUGCUGACAUCUCAGGAAUAUGGCAGUUCUGUGUUUAGAGCCAUGUGGGGCAAUGGGACGAUAUGGGCAAGACCAGAUCCUGUGCAGGUAACCCUCAGACUGAACAGGUGUGCACUCCGGGGGUAAAAUCACGAGGCGGCAAAUCAUUACAUUUUAUGGGGUCCCUUUGAGAAAGGCUUUGGGGACAAAUUCCUCUGAGCUUAGCUAGGAGAUCACCUAGCUUCCUGCUUAGUUGGUGUGCAUUCUUCGACUGGUAAGAAAUGCUGCAUUUUCUGCUGUUUUCCUCUUUGCCCUGGCUGUGAGGAAACCCCUUGUGUUUGAUACUGUGCUUUUCCUCCAUCAGGGUUUCGUAAUAAAAUUCUUACCGCCUCACCCAA